ACCUAAUAGAUACCCAGGUAGUCCACGCCCUAAACGAUGCGAACUGGAUGUUGGGUACAUUGCGGUACUCAGUGUCGAAAGCUAACGCGUUAAGUUCGCCGCCUGGGGAGUACGGUCGCAAGACUGAAACUCAAAGGAAUUGACGGGGGCCCGCACAAGCGGUGGAGUAUGUGGUUUAAAUUCGAUGCAACGCGAAGAACCUUACCUGGCCUUGACAUCUGUCGAAUCCUGCAGAGAUGCGGGAGUGCCGCAAGGAACGACAAGACAGGUGCUGCAUGGCUGUCGUCAGCUCGUGUCGUGAGAUGUUGGGUUAAGUCCCGCAACGAGCGCAACCCUUGUCCCUAGUUGCCAGCACGUAAUGGUGGGAACUCUAGGGAGGACUGCCGGUGACAAACCGGAGGAAGGUGGGGAU
rnacentral:rRNA from 1 species